rnacentral:lncRNA from 1 species
GAUUAAGCAAACUUUCCUGUAAUGCUCAUCAUUAGUAAACACUGCUUGAUGCUGCAGGAAGACGCAGAGGGAUACCCUGAGAUCUUCUUCCCUCUCCUCCUGGACUCCUUAGAAAAAUUGGCUUUGGAUUCACUGAUCCUCUGUUUUUUUUUUCCCCUCCUUGCCAUCUUGGGGAUUGAACCCACUGAGCUACAUAUAUCCCAGCCCCCUUAUUUUUAUUUUUUUAUUUUGAGACAGGCUCUCACUAAGUUGCUCAGGCUGAUCUCAAAUUUGCAAUCUUCCUGCCUCAGCUGUGAUUUUCUGUUUUCCUUUACCAUAUCCCUCUGCCAUGAUGUUCUGCCUCACGUUGGUCCCAUAGCAAUAGAGCCAAUCAUUCACUAACACCUCUGAAAUCAUGAGCCCCUGAUAAAUUUUUCUUCCUCUAUGUUGUUCUUCAGUCUUUUGGUCAAAGCAGGAAGAAAAAAAAAACUGACUAAAACAUCCCUUAAUACACCAACCUGUGUUUCAUUGUUUGUUCAAUCCAGAUAAAUUUUAUUCACUCAACCUGCCUUUUAUAGAUGUAAUAGUUCAAUAUUAGAGUUGGUAAAAAGCACUAAGGGAAAAGUGAAACCAAAAAGAACAUAGAAACCUAGAUAUUCUUGUCUUGAUGGAAAAAAUCUGAUUGCUCUGAAAGUACAUCUGUGACCAAAAUAGCAUGUAGCUAGCUAGCCUCCAGGAAGAAGAAGCUCGAAAGUGUGUGGAACUUCUUUUGGG